ensembl:lncRNA
UAAUUAAUAGAUGAGGAGGAGAAAAAAGAACUACAACCAGACAAAGCUCCUAGAAGACUGAAAUGGAUGAUGGUUGCAGCAUGCAAAAAGAAAAUGAUAUCUGUUGACUACAGCAUAUGCUUUCUCACAGAUUACCUUGUGGGAGUAGCUGGACCAAACUCUAUUGGUAUUUCAAGUUUGAAAUCCCUGUUUGACCAGACUAACAUUUCAGAUGAGGUAAUAGAUGGCCUAAUCUAUUUGCAGUGUGAGAAUUUCCCUCACAUUUAUCCAAUACCAAGCCAAAUCACUGGAAAAAUUUUGGAUGGGUCCACAAGAGCACAAAGUGCAUACUUUUUGAAGAAAAACAUCUUUCAGAUGUAUGAGAAAUUGAUUGGAGCCUGUCUGGAAAACGGCAGCCACUGGACCUUGUUUGUAAGUUGCACAGAUUUUGCACUCUCUCUAGUGCAUGAUACUUUUCAGUGUCCCUCAUUAGGAAAGCUCAAGGCCCAAGCCUACCAUAUCCAUCUUUUUACAAAACAGUUUUGUGACAUACCCAAGAGGACCAUAGUCUAUAUGAAUUCAUUUAGCGAGUCGGAGGUCAGAAAAAGUGCGGUGUUGAAAAACUGGAGGUAAUUAAUUAACAUAUUUAACAUAACAUAUUUAAUUUAAUUGAAAUCAUUACCGAACGUGGUUAUUGAUUUCUCUAUAUGCUUUUUAUUUGUAAUAACUGCGAUCUCUCAGCUCAUUUGCUUCAGCAAGAGGCUGCGCUGGAGAGUGGACCUUGUCACAUGUGAGCCACCCACAUCAACAGGAUGGGAACUCAUGUGGAGUGCAUGUCAUAAUGUUUGCCCAAUCUCUCAUUGACGGUAAAACACAAGUGGAGGAGUACAACACUGAAAUCACAAAGCUCAGGUCCCGACUUUGCCACUACUUAUUUUCCUCAAUAGAUCGAACUAGGAAGUGCAGUCAGUGCUGGUGUGUGAUUGCAGCCAAAGACCGGGUGCAGUGCCAGAAAUGUGGUGCAUACAAGCACAUGCGUUGUUCAAAGUCUGUUUGUGGCAUCUGUGUCUUCUGUGAGAGUAAGUCACAAUAUAACUAAACAAUGUCCAAAAAUGUUUAAAGUGAAAUUUUUUUUCGUAAUUUUGCCUUUGCACACCAGGACUGUGUAAUUAAAGUGGACGUUUCAAGAUCCAGUUUUUACACAAAACUAUUUUAGACAUAACUGUGUCGUAUUGUGGGGAUUUCUCUUCACAAUUAAAUUGAUAUAGUGCUGUUUAUAUCAUUCUUCUUUAUGUAACAGCACAGUGCAGCACAGCAGAGGGAAAGGAGUUGUGCAGCAUAGUAGGUGACUAUACAGGAGGAGCAAUAGAAGUAGCCAGUGAAGAAUGUCAUCAGGGAAAGCAUCAGGCAGCGAAUGACAAAGGAAAAGUUCCUAAGGGAGAGAACAUCUGCAGCAAAUCGACAAGUAACAGUGAGAUAGGAAGACUGACAGUCAGAGAUGAAGGUACACAGACUGAAGACAACGAAAAAGAAGCAGAAGUAUACGGCACAAGUCUGAGUACAGAUAAUGCUGCUGCUGAUGAUGUUGACAGGAUCGAUGCAGAUACAGAAUUCCAAACUGAUUCAGAAGGAACUAGUACAGUUUACAGAGUGCAUGGUCGCUUAUCUGUACCAAGCUCAAAAAAGAAAACCUACACAAUAACAGAAGACGAGAUCAAGCGCAGAAUCAACGCAGAGAACAUGUCAGUUCAUGUUUUCAGAGGUUUGAUUGGGGUAGGUAUACAUUUCGUGAUUUUGAUGUCACCUGAAAUAAAUCCGGGUUACUCGUAUCAAUGAAGUGACAAUGUGGCUGGAAAUUGUGCAUUUGCUGCAACAUAUACACAAUUACACCAUGUAAACAAAAGCAUUUAACUUUGUGCGCGCGUGUGUGUGUCUCUCUCUGCUCUUUUGGUGUUUGCACUUUUUCUUUUUUAGGGCCGUAAAGCCAAACUGCCCGCAAUGAUUCUUGACAGGCCUAAGAAGGCCAAAACUAAAGUAACAGUGUUUAGUGUUCUGAGUGAAGAGGAGGCUGGGGAGCUAGCCCUCGGGUUUGCCGGAAGAUUGGCCUGCGAUGUCACAACAGACAUGGUCUGUAAAGGCAUCGACCAUUCAAGUGCUGAUAUGACAAAACAGACUCUUCUCAAAAUCCAACACAACCUUAAACAUGAGCUGACUGAUUCCUCAACCUUCAGUUUGCUGACACACACCUUUGGCCCCGCUGCACUGGAUUCUGUCAUUUCAUUCCUGUGUGAAAAACUUGAUCUUGUCUCUUAAAUAAUGAAACCUUUUGUGACUUUUGUUUGUUCUGUAAAUCAGAAUCUUGAAAAUUGUUCAUUGUUGUUCUAAGUUUGUGUUAACUAUUUGGCAAAAAUGAUUGGUUCCUAAUCCAAACAGCAUAAUGACUGUUCUAACACAUAUCUUAAAAAUGCUAC